UACGUAGGGGGCAAGCUCUGUCCGGAUUUAUUGGGCGUAAAGAGCGUGUAGGCGGCCUGAAAGGUCAGCUGUGAAAACUCGAGGCUCAACCUCGAGACGUCGGUUGAAACCAUCUGGCUAGAGUCCGGAAGAGGAGUGUGGAAUUCCCGGUGUAGCGGUGAAAUGCGCAGAUAUCGGGAAGAACACCCGUGGCGAAGGCGGCACUCUGGGACGGUACUGACGCUGAGACGCGAAAGCGUGGGGAGCGAACAGG
rnacentral:rRNA from 1 species